AAAACUGAAAAAAGAAGAAUAAGAAUUUGUUAUUUGAAAACAACUAAGUCCAUUCUAAUAUAACACAUAAAGUUGAUUUAAUAUAUUAUAAUUUAAAAUGUUUUGGGGAUGGAUAGGGCGGUCUAAGUUAGGGUCUUUCUACAUAGCUCUGGCUGCCCUGGAACUCACUAUGUAGACUAGGCUGGCCUAGAUCCAGCUGCCUCUACCAUCCAAAGAGUCCUGGGAAUCAAGGCAUGCGCCAGCACACCCAGAAUAACUUAAAUUUCUUAACUACUUGUUUGAAUUGAAAAUGUAUCAGUCCAUGAUUUAAAACAAAGCAAACAAACAGAAGAAAACUGUAUCUCCAGACUUAAUUUUAGGAUGGAACUUAGAAUUCAAGUGUAACGUCAGUGGCAGCAAGAUUUUCACUCCUUCUCAAAAGUUUAUUCUAGAAGAAGUAAACUCACCAGGCUCAAACAUAUUUCUUCCCACAGUUUUAUUUCUCUCAGUGACAUGAUCCUCCAAUCCCUUGAAAACUCCUUUUUAGAUGAGUCAUAGGUAGAAAUUCCAUUGGGGAGUAAAGGGUAAGGAAGGCUGGGAUGAGAGUACUUAUUUAUAUCUUGUAGAACUCUUGUUUGGUGAAACUGUGUAUAAAGUUUGCUAAGACCCUGAGGGUGGAGGCUGGUCAGAUGACUCAUCCGGUAAACGCUUCUGCAACCAGGCUGGACCACUGGAGUUUGACUUCCAGAAUCCACAGGGAGAGGCCCAUCUCCCCAGAAGUUAUUCUCUGACUUCCGACUUCCACUUACUUGCCUGGGUUGGACACUUUGCCAUAGAAAGCUAACAACAAACAGAUAGACAGUUGACCUUCUUCCAAGGACUGGUGUGUUGUUCCUAAAGCCAGAGUUCUACCUACUGUGGAGAUUACAGUCUGAUCCCGGACUCCAAACUUCAUGAUGUCCACUGGUUGUCAUCCGGCGUUUCCUGGACCACUCUAACUCCUUCAGAUUUCCGAGUCCAUCCAUCUGAUCUUCAUAGUGUCCUCCAGCAUCACUGGGCUGCUCUCUAGAGUGAGCUGAACGAGUUCUUUUGUGCACGUUCAUCUUAAUAUUUGUGAGAGAGCUGUGAUCUUACUUUUUGAAAAUUAUAUUUUAUCACCCUGUCUUUAGAGGGAAAACUGAGAAUGAAUCAGAAGAUUAAAGCCUGUGAUAGGAAGAUGUAAGGUAUGUGAUAAGAUACCUGGACAGUCAAGGCAGCAGGAGAGGGUAAAUGGGGUGGAGUCAUUGGAAUUCCUCUUUAGAAUGUUGGUAUUGUGGCGUCUCACUCAUUAUGCUAUAUCCAGUAAGCUCGAGUAUACACACACACACACACAC
rnacentral:sRNA from 1 species